CAGCCGGGGGCUCCGGGGAGCCCUUCCCUCCUCUGGCGGCUGUUCGUGUUCCCGCUGAAUCUAGCUUCAAGCUACGGCGUUGGGGCGGCGAGCUCCGUUGAAAUGGCAGAGCCUUCUGCCCGAACGGCAAGGAAAGAGGAAGUCUGCUGUUGAAAGAUCUUCAUCUGUGCCUUUUUAUUGUUAUUUACUUAGUGCCAGGAGUGCGUAAGAUAAACUCGGAGACAUGUAUGAAGACAAGAUCCUGGCAGGAAGUGAUUUUUUCGUUCUGCUGCUUGCUCCUGCUGGAUCCUACAAAGCUUCGGCUCGAGUUUUGGCAGAAGGCCCUAUGAGAAAAAGGGAAAGCUAAGGAUGCUGGAGCAGAACAAUGGAUUUCUCUUUCUCUUUCAUGCAAGGGAUCAUGGGAAACACAAUUCAGCAACCACCUCAACUCAUUGACUCAGCCAACAUCCGCCAAGAGGAUGCCUUUGAUGCCAGCAGUGACAUCGCUGAAGAUGGUGGACAAACACCAUAUGAAACUGCCCUACAGCAAGGCUUUCAGUACCCUACGCCCACGACGGAGGAUCUUCCACCAAUCACUAAUGGCUAUCCACCAACAAUCAAUAUGUAUGAACCUCAAGCCAAAUACCAGACAUACAGUCAAUAUCCCAAUGGUUCAGCCAAUGGUUUUGGUACAGUUAGAAACUUUAGUCCCCCAGAGUAUUACCAAAUGGAAAACUCUAAUGCAAGACCGCAUGAAGUUCUGGAAAAACCUUCUCCUCCACAGCCGCCACCUCCUCCGCCACCUUCAGUUUCACAAACAGUGAUUCCAAAGAAGACUGGCUCACCAGAGAUCAAAUUAAAAAUAACCAAAACUAUCCAGAACGGCAGGGAAUUGUUUGAGUCCUCUCUGUGUGGGGACCUUUUAAAUGAAGUACAAGCGAGUGAGUAUGCUAAAGCGAAACAUGAAGGGAGAAAAGAGAAAAGGAAAAAAAGUAGCAAGCAUGACUCUUCCCGAUCGGUAGAGCGCAAGUCGCACAAAAUUCCAAAAUUAGAACCAGAGGAACAAAAUAGACCAAAUGAGAGGCUUAGCAUGCUAUCAGAAAGGCCAAGAGAAGAUACACUGUCAGAGGAAACACCGGUCCAGCAGUUCUUGCCUUCUCUUCCAACACAAGUCAGUCAUGACAUCAAGUUUCAGGUUGGCGAUCUGGUUUGGUCCAAGGUGGGAACAUACCCAUGGUGGCCUUGCAUGGUUUCAUGUGAUCCACAGCUUGAUGUUCAUACCAAAAUUAAUACAAGAGGUGCCCGUGAAUACCACGUUCAGUUUUUUAGCAACCAGCCAGAGAGGGCAUGGGUGCAUGAAAAGCGGGUUCGAGAGUACAAAGGACACAAACAGUAUGAGCAAUUAUUGGCUGAGGCUGCGAAGCAAGCUAGCAACCACUCUGAGAAACAGAAGAUUCGCAAACCAAGGCCACAAAGAGAGCGUGCUCAGUGGGAUAUUGGUAUUGCCCACGCUGAGAAAGCACUGAAAAUGACUCGAGAAGAAAGAAUAGAACAAUACACGUUCAUUUAUAUAGACAAAGAGCCAGAGGAAGUUUUGUCAAAAGCCAAAAAGACUGCUGCUUCUAAAUCAGAGGCUAAGAAGAACAGACGACCUAAGCCAGCGUUGAACACCCAGGCAGAACAUGCCAAUGCGGUAGCAGCAUCACCUUCAAAUGCUGAGGUGCGAAGACAAAGUCAAAGGAGGCAGUCAAGUGUGGAAGAAGAGGAGCCACCUCCUGUAAAAAUAGCAUGGAAAACUGCUGCAGCUAGAAAAUCUUUACCAGCUUCAAUAACCAUGCACAAGGGGACCUUGGAUCUUCAAAAAUGUAACAUGUCUCCAGUUGUUAAAAUUGAACAGGUUUUUGCUCUUCAGAAUGCUGCUGGGGAUGGAAAACUCAUCGAUCAGUUUGUUUAUUCUACUAAGGGAGUUGGUAGCAAAACAGAAAUAAGCGUCAAAGGACAGGAGAAGCUUAAUUCUUCAUCGAAUCAGAGAACGGAAAAAGCAACGGUGCAAAACGUGUCCUCUCCUGAAACAACUUCUGGGUCUACAGGUUCUGUAGAAAAGAAGCAACAGAGAAGAUCGAUUCGAACCCGCUCAGAGUCUGAGAAAUCCACUGAAGUUGUGCCAAAGAAGAAGAUCAAAAAGGAGCAGGUUGAAAUGGUACCACUGACUGCAGUGAAGACAGGAUUGCAGAAAGGUGCCAGCGAGAUUUCAGAUUCCUGUAAACCUUUAAAGAAAAGGAGUCGUGCCUCAACUGACGUAGAACUGACUAGCUCAGCAUACAGAGAUACAUCUGACUCUGACUCAAGAGGACUUAAUGAUUUACAGGUAAAAGGUAGUUUUGGAAAACGUUCAGACAGCCCAUCAGCUACUGCAGAUGCUGAUGCUUCUGAUGUGCAGUCAGUAGACUCGAGCUUAUCCAGGAGAGGAACUGGAACAAAUAAAAAAGACACUGUAUGUCAGAUCUGCGAAAGUUCCGGUGAGUCUCUGGUGUCCUGCGAAGGCGAGUGUUGCGGUGUCUUUCAUAUGGAGUGUCUAGGCCUGAAGUCGAUACCUGAUGAGAAGUUCAUCUGCACGGAGUGUAAAAAUGGAGAACAUACAUGCUUUUCAUGCAAACUUCCUGGCAAGGACGUGAAGCGUUGUUCUGUCAAUACAUGCGGUAAAUUUUAUCACGAGGCCUGUGUUCGCAAGUUUGCCACUGCUCUCUUCGAGUCACGAGGAUUCCGUUGCCCGCAGCAUUGUUGUACUGCCUGCUCAAUGGAUAAGGAUAUUCAUAAAGCGAGUAAAGGUCGCAUGGUGAGAUGUUUCAGAUGUCCCAUUGCCUAUCACUCAGGAGAUGGCUGUAUUGCUGCAGGAAGCUUGUUUGUGUCAUCCCACAUUCUCAUCUGUAGUAACCAUUCCAAAAGGAAUCACUCCUCAUCAGCUGUAAAUGUAGGCUUUUGUUUCGUUUGUGCAAGAGGGUUGGUAGUGCAGGAUCAUUCAGACCCCAUGUUCAGUUCAUAUGCCUAUAAGUCCCACUACCUACUGAAUGAAUCAAAUCGUGCUGAGUUGAUGAAAUUACCUAUGAUUCCUCCUCCUUCGUCAGCUUCCAAAAAGAAAUGUGAGAAAGGUGGAAAAUUAUUGUGCUGUGAAUCCUGCCCAGCUUCCUUUCACCCUGAGUGUCUCAACAUUGAAAUGCCUGAAGGAUGCUGGAAUUGCAAUGACUGUAAAGCUGGCAAGAAACUACGUUACAAGCAGAUUGUUUGGGUCAAGCUUGGAAAUUACAGGUGGUGGCCAGCAGAGAUCUGCAAUCCCAGGUCUGUGCCUCUCAACAUACAGGGCCUCAAACAUGAUAUCGGGGACUUCCCAGUAUUUUUCUUUGGUUCACAUGACUACUAUUGGGUACACCAGGGCAGAGUUUUCCCUUAUGUUGAAGGAGAUAAAAGCUUUGCUGAGGGGCAAACUAGUAUUAACAAGACCUUCAAGAAAGCACUUGAAGAAGCAGCAAAACGCUUCCAGGAGCUGAAAGCACAAAGAGAAAGCAAAGAAGCGUUAGAAAUUGAAAGGAAUUCAAGAAAACCUCCACCUUAUAAACAUAUUAAAUCCAACAAAGUAAUAGGGAAGGUUCAGAUUCAAGUAGCUGAUCUAUCAGAAAUCCCUCGCUGUAACUGCAAGCCAUCUGAUGAGAACCCCUGUGGCCUAGAAUCGGAGUGUCUGAACAGGAUGCUACAGUAUGAGUGCCAUCCCCAGGUUUGCCCAGCAGGAGAGCGAUGUCAGAACCAGUGUUUCACCAAAAGACUCUACCCUGAUGCUGAAAUCAUAAAAACUGAUCGACGUGGAUGGGGUCUCAGGACAAAAAGGAACAUUAAAAAGGGUGAAUUUGUGAACGAAUAUGUUGGUGAGCUAAUUGAUGAAGAAGAGUGCAGGUUGCGGAUCAAACGUGCCCAUGAAAACAGUGUAACCAAUUUUUAUAUGUUAACUGUUACAAAGGACCGAAUAAUCGAUGCUGGCCCAAAAGGGAAUUAUUCUCGUUUUAUGAACCAUAGUUGUAAUCCAAACUGUGAAACACAGAAAUGGACAGUGAAUGGUGACAUUAGAGUUGGACUUUUUGCUCUUUGUGAUAUUCCUGCAGGAAUGGAGUUAACAUUUAAUUAUAAUUUGGAUUGCCUUGGCAACGGUAGGACUGAAUGUCAUUGUGGAGCAGAAAACUGCAGUGGCUUUCUAGGAGUGCGCCCAAAGACAGCGUUUGCAACAGCAAAUGAGGAGAAGGUGAAGAAUGCAAAAUUAAAACAGAAGAAACGGAAAAUAAAAACAGAACAGAAGCAGAUGCAUGAAGACAACUGUUUCCAAUGUGGAGAUGGCGGAGAACUAGUCAUGUGUGAUAAAAAGGACUGUCCCAAAGCAUACCACCUCCUAUGCCUUAACCUGACUCAACCACCUUUUGGAAAGUGGGAAUGUCCGUGGCAUCAAUGCGACAUCUGUAGCAAUCCUGCAGUUUCAUUCUGUGAGUUUUGCCCUCAUUCAUUCUGUAAAGAUCACGAGAAGGGAGCCUUGGUGGCAUCAGCGUUGGAUGGCCGUCUCUGCUGCUCCACACAUGACCCCAAAUCUCCUGUGGCACCUGAGUACUGGAACAAGAUAAAGUGCAAAUUGGAAUCACAGAAUCCUGUAGAAGAAGCAAAGGAAUGAAUUUGCUUAAAAAGCAAGGGAGGGGAGAAGAGGGGCAAAUAGGUGAUGACCUUGAAGAGACUGCUAUUGACACGUUCAGUCUUUAUCAUCAGAGCCGCCUUGUUUGAACUGGGAAUGGGACCAUUUAAUCUUAGCCAGCAGAAGCAGGCAGUGAUGUUUGUUUUUUUUUUUUUUUUAUUGUUUGGUCUGUCUUUUACCCUUGAAUGUGCUACAGCAGCUCUUACUGUUGGAAAACAAGAACAUCUUGGCCUUCUUAAGAAAAGAAGUAGACCUUUUGACAGUGAGAAGAAUAUUCUGUUUAAAAUAUGUUCUUUGAGUGUAGAAGCAAAGCAUAGCAACAUAUUUAUUUAUUUAAUUUUUAAAGGAUGUUGAGGAUUUGAUUUUGAUCAGUCUGUGUAAUAGCAAAGCCAACGUAACUUUUAUGUCUAGUUUGUGAGAGAAGAAUAAAUCCUCCCCACUCUGUGUAACAUUCAACUGCCAUAAAGACAGAUGUGGGUUUUGGACCAGGUGACAGUGAAAUGCCUCCAUUCCAGUACUUAUCUCUUAAAGGCAUUUUGAGAAGUGGUAACUUACUGCAUGGAGAGGAAUAGCGUGGUGGUGCCAGAAUGCCUUCGCAAGUAUUUGAAACAGCAAUGAGCAGACAAUAGUCACCGAACGUUAAUUGCCAUGUGAAAUGUGCUGCUGUGACAUACUGGUAUGCUGGUUAUCAUGGAACACGUGAAGGUUCACAGAAGGCUUAAAAACUCCUAGAAGAUGCUAAGAGUUAUGAGGCCUAUUGCUACUCCUCUGCCAUGACACUUGAUAUCUUGGUUAACUUGUUUUCAAACUUCUCAUGGGUGCUCCUUUUAUUUUUCCAUGAAAAAUUAGUUAAUUAGAGCAGCCAGCGUUUGAGCUUGGACUUGAAAGGAGACUGGUCUAUAUGCUUUUACAAUUUACAAACAAAAAGCUUGGACUGGAUUUCACACUGUUGGAGAGAAGGUGAAUCUUUCAAAAGAUUUAAAUUUUCUGAAAUAAGAAAACAUCUAAUUCAUAGUAAAUUGAUAAAUGUAGUCAGUUUGUUCUAUAUGUUGAACACACAAAAUGUUAAAAUACACAUUUUAACCACAUCUUCAUGAACUGAAUAGAACAAUAAUGCAAUUCUAUUUUAAGGAAGAAGUUUGACAGUGAUGUUUUGAUUAACUGGCAUCAGCAGAGAGGAGAAUCAGCUAUUGAAUUAAAAUUUGUGGUCUCUCAAGUGAGAUAAGAAAGUAGUAUUCAGCAGUUUAGGGGUGUAGUUGUUUAAUGCUGAGAUUGAGGAGAAAUCUACAGAGCUACUGGUGUUUUCAGUUGAGUUCUUUAAUCCACUGUCCAGAACAGUCCGUUGUUCCUUAACUGGAACACGCAAUCAUACCUUUUCCUUAUUCGUGUCUUAAAUAUUUGAGCUAGUAUCAUGCUUCUGGUAAACACCCGACUCUAGAUCUUUAGUUUGUAUUAUCUAUAUAGUAAUGCAAUAUCUGAGCUGCUCUGUGAAGUUAACAGGAUUUUGUUGUUUACUGGAGCUUUUACUAUAUUGUAUGCACCUUAGCACGGAGCAGAAGUUCUGCAGGCCAUGGCCAAAUGGUGCAAUGGCUAGUUACUACGAUUUUUUAAAUACACGGUGCAAGCAUUAGUUAGUGUAGCUUUCGGAUUAUUAGCGUAGACUUAUCUUAUCAAUAGACUGUAAGAAUUAAAGGCAUUUGCAGCUCAGGACAAAGGCAAUUAAAGGCAAUUUUGUGGGCAAAUUACCUUCUCUGUUCACCACCAUGGUCUUGGAGAAUCUGUUAAAAUGGAAUGAUAGAGCUGGAAUGUUUGAUUCUGGCCUUUCUGCUAAAAAAUUUAUUAUAUCUGGAUUUCUGGGUAGAAUGGGAAAGACAAUUACUAGGCAUAAUUAACAGCAUAAAAUCUGUAUAUAUUGAAACUUUACAGAAAUAUUUGGGUGGGGCUAGGGAGGAGGG